rnacentral:rRNA from 1 species
UACGAAGGGUGCAAGCGUUACUCGGAAUUACUGGGCGUAAAGCGUGCGCAGGCGGUUGUGCAAGACAGGUGUGAAAUCCCCGGGCUUAACCUGGGAACUGCACUUGUGACUGCACAGCUGGAGUACGGCAGAGGGGGAUGGAAUUCCGCGUGUAGCAGUGAAAUGCGUAGAUAUGCGGAGGAACACCGAUGGCGAAGGCAGUCCCCUGGGCCUGUACUGACGCUCAUGCACGAAAGCGUGGGGAGCAAACGGG